CCUACGGGAGGCAGCAGUAGGGAAUAUUGCUCAAUGGGGGAAACCCUGAAGCAGCAACGCCGCGUGAAGGAUGCAGGUUUUCGUAUUGUAAACUCCUUUUGUUAGAGAAGAUAAUGACGGUAUCUAACGAAUAAGCACCGGCUAACUCCGUGCCAGCAGCCGCAGUAAUACGGAGGGUGCAAGCGUUACUCGGAAUCACUGGGCGUAAAGAGCGCGUAGGCGGGAUAGCAAGUCAGAUGUGAAAUCCUAUGGCUUAACCAUAGAACUGCAGUUGAAACUGUUAUUCUAGAGUAUGGGAGAGGUAGGUGGAAUUCGUGGUGUAGGGGUAAAAUCCGUAGAGAUCAAGAGGAAUACUCAUUGCGAAGGCGACCUGCUAGAACAUAACUGACGCUGAUGCGCGAAAGCGUGGGGAGCAAGCAGGAUUAGAUACCCGAGUAGUC
rnacentral:rRNA from 1 species